rnacentral:rRNA from 1 species
UACGUAGGUCCCGAGCGUUGUCCGGAUUUAUUGGGCGUAAAGCGAGCGCAGGUGGUUUAUUAAGUCUGGUGUAAAAGGCAGUGGCUCAACCAUUGUAAGCAUUGGAAACUGGUAGACUUGAGUGCAGGAGAGGAGAGUGGAAUUCCAUGUGUAGCGGUGAAAUGCGUAGAUAUAUGGAGGAACACCGGUGGCGAAGGCGGCUCUCUGGCCUGUAACUGACACUGAGGCUCGAAAGCGUGGGGAGCAAACAGG